rnacentral:rRNA from 1 species
GAUGAACGCUGGCGGCGUGCUUAAUACAUGCAAGUCGAGCGAAAAGACGAGGAGCUUGCUCCUCUGACGUUGGCGGCGGACGGGUGAGUAACACGUGGAUAACCUACCUAUAAGACUGGGAUAACUUCGGGAAACCGGUGCUAAUACCGGAUAAUAUAUUGAACCGCAUGGUUCAAUAGUGAAAGACGGUUUUGCUGUUACUUAUAGAUGGAUCCGCGCCGCAUUAGCUAGUUGGUAAGGUAACGGCUUACCAAGGCAAGCAUGAGUAGCCGACCUGAGAGGGUGAUAGGCCACCCGGGAACUGAGACACGGUCCAGACUCCUACGGGAGAGAGCAGUAGGGUAUCUGCCGCAGUGGGCGAAAGCUUGACGGAGCAACGCCGCGUGAGUGAUGAAGGUCUUCGGAUCGUAAAGCUCUGUUAUUGGGGAAGAACAAAUUUGUAAGUAACUAUGCACGUCGUGACGGUACCUGAUCAGAAAGCCACGGCUAACUACGUG